rnacentral:lncRNA from 1 species
CGGGAACGAAAAAAAAAGAGUAGAGAAUGGAAAGAAAUUAAUAGAAUGCAUACAUACAUUAGAUAAGAAAAUGCAGAUCCAAGCAUAGGAUUUUGACCAAAGAUGAUCAUUCAUCAUUCAAGGGCCAUACAAUCAUAGACACAGACAGACAGAUAAGACAAAUUAACCAUGAAUUUCUCAUUUUCUUUUUUUAUAACGGUGGUAUAAAUCGGGCUCAAUAUAUCAUUAUUUCUUAGCGAGCUUGUGCUUGUUAUACUUGACUUUCAUCCAGUUGACGCUUACGGUGGUUCCUUCCUUAACUUUCUUCAUUCCAGCGGAGGCAGCCACUUUUGUUUUCUCCAUUCCCCUUUCAAACUUAUCACUAACUCUCUUCGACAGCUUCGGGCGCUCGCCCAGCUGCCUGUUCGGGUCCUCGGAGCUCCAUGGAUUGUUAAGAGUCAUACUUUUGGAUUGCUAUCUUCACCACCUCAAGAGAAAAUUUCAGUUAUGAAACAAAAGAAAAUUUCUUGGGGGUAUAUGGACAAGCUUAUGUUUUGCUUUGCGUUACAAUAUACUGGUCUUGAACCAUUCUUUUUUGUGUGAGAUCAAAUGAAUGGCUCAUGUUUUGGAAUGUUAGUGUUCCUGCACUCCUUAACUUAACGUAUAUUUUAAUUUUUUGUUUGGAAAUAUGGUGGACAACUUUUUUUUUUUGGACUAUUUCUGUUCUAUAGAAGAGCUUUUAUUC